AACACCAAUACCAACACCAAGACCAAGACCAAGACCAGAACCAACACUAUCACCAGCACCAACAGCAGUUCCACCACCAGCAACAGAAGACCCAUCACCAGCUCCAGGUCAUUCCAAAAGGACUUGUGGAGCGCUGCUCCUUCCAAAGCCCCCAAAAGUUCAUAAAUGAUCUCCUACAUGGGAUGUAUACCAGGGAAUAUAUGGCAGGCCAUUCAGUGACUGGCCAGUAAUCCAGCAGCUGCACAGAAGGAAAACCUGGCCUAGCCAAACAGGACCUUGUUGAAAU